UUAACCCAACCUCAACUACCCCUCCUCUAACCCUCUCUCUCUCAUGGCAUCUCCUCUAACUCUCUCUCUCACGGCCGAAGAAGAAAAGAAAGAAGAAAGCAAUCUCUAACUGUCUCCCUCGCUGUGGCUCCGAUGCCUUCGACACAGCUUUUUUCCGACGUCAGGAAAAAGAACUUGGUAGAGAAGUGACUGAUCUUGAGUUAUUUUCAAGAUGCCAUAGAAAGAACAAAGGAAUUGGGGAGCUCAUCAACAACAAAUCCAAAAGAAUUAGUGAUGAAUACCUUGCAAAAACCGGGUUGUACUGAUGUUUUUUCACAUUCUUCAUUCGAUAUCUCAACUUGGUAUGAUAUCACUGGAGGUCCUUCUAAUGGACGCUUAUAUGGAUUUGGAUGUAGCUCCUCUUGUACAAGUUCAAGUUAAGUCAGUUCUACUCUUAAUGCAUCUGACCAGAAGAUUAAUGAGUUAACAAAAGUUAUGGAGGACAUGCGCUCUAAUGCUGCAAAAAUGGAAGAAGAAUUUUCAAGACGAGAAGAAGAAAAUAGAAAAUUACUUAAAAUUGCUCUUGAAGAAGCUAGAAACUGGGAGGAAGAGGCUCGAAAGAGGGAGGCAGACCUACAAGAAUUAGUUCGAAAAUUACUUCAAGAUGUGGGAUACACAAACCAUCAAUUUGCUGGUGGGUCUGGACAGCAGGAGCAACAACAUUCCAGGAAAGAUAAUUAGUUUAUUUUUUCUGUUGGUUGUUUAUGACUUAGUUUAUAUUAGUUUUGUUGUAUUAUGAGUAUCUUUUUUGUUAAUAUUUAUUGUUCUUAUUUGGAAACUUCAGAUUUUGGUAUUGAUUGAAUGUAUUUG